UGGAGUCUGCAACUCGACUCCAUGAAGUCGGAAUCGCUAGUAAUCGUGGAUCAGAAUGCCACGGUGAAUACGUUCCCGGGCCUUGUACACACCGCCCGUCACACCAUGGGAGUGGGUUGCAAAAGAAGUAGGUAGCUUAACCUUCGGGAGGGCGCUUACCACUUUGUGAUUCAUGACUGGGGUGAAGUCGUAACAAGGUAACCGUAGGGGAACCUGCGGUUGGAUCACCUCCUUACCUUAAAGAA
rnacentral:rRNA from 1 species